rnacentral:rRNA from 1 species
AUUGAACGCUGGCGGCAGGCCUAACACAUGCAAGUCGAACGAGUGGCGGACGGGUGAGUAAUGUCUGGGAAACUGCCUGAUGGAGGGGGAUAACUACUGGAAACGGUAGCUAAUACCGCAUACCAUCAGAUGUGCCCAGAUGGGAUUAGCUUGUUGGUGGGGUAACGGCUCACCAAGGCGACGAUCCCUAGCUGGUCUGAGAGGAUGACAAGCCAACGUGUAACGGAUCCACGGCCCAGACUCCUACGGGAGGCAGCAGGGGGGAUGUUUGCCAAAUGGGCGCAACCCUGAUGCAGCCCGGCCGCGUGUAGGAAGAUGGCUUUCGGGUUGUAAAGUACUUUCACCGGGGAGGCGUUCCCCGCAGAAGAAGCACCGGCUAACUCCGUGCCAGCAGCCGCGUUAAUAC